ACAGUCCUUGUACUGACGACAUCUCUUUCAAACGCCUGACUUAUCAGCUGUCGAUGGUAGACUCUGUGUCUACCAUGGCCCUCACGGGUAACGGGGAAUCAGGGUUCGAUUCCGGAGAGGGAGCCUGAGAAACGGCUACCACAUCCAAGGAAGGCAGCAGGCACGCAAAUUACCCACUCCCGGCACGGGGAGGUAGUGACAAAAAAUAACGAUACGGGACUCUAUUGAGGCCCCGUAAUCGGAAUGAGUACACUUUAAAUCCUUUAACAAGGAUCCAUUGGAGGGCAAGUCUGGUGCCAGCAGCCGCGGUAAUUCCAGCUCCAAUAGCGUAUAUUAAAGUUGUUGCGGUUAAAAAGCUCGUAGUUGGUUCUGCGUGCCGCGCUGUCGGUUCGCCGCCUGUCGGUGUAACUGGCAUGUCGCGGCAUGUCCUGUCGGUGGUGAACGAAAUCCGCGGUACUGGCCAAGGCUUCACAGCCGAAGUUUUGUGUCGUGUUCGAUUUCGUUUGCCGAUCUCUCCUACUCCGGUGCUCUUAAACGAGUGUCGAGGUAGGCCGACACGUUCACUUUGAACAAAUUAGAGUGCUUAAAGCAGGCUGAAAUAUCUGCCUGAAUAGUGGUGCAUGGAAUGAUAAAAUAGGACCUCGGUUCUAUUUUGUUGGUUUUAGGAAUAUGAGGUAAUGAUCAAUGUGGACUGGCGGGGGCAUUCGUAUUGCGACGUUAGAGGUGAAAUUCUUGGAUCGUCGCAAGACGCACUAGAGCGAAAGCAUUUGCCAAGUAUGUCUUAAUUGAUCAAGAACGAAAGUUAGAGGUUCGAAGGCGAUCAGAUACCGCCCUAGUUCUAACCAUAAACGAUGCCAGCCAGCGAUCCGCCGAUGUUCCUUUAAUGACUCGGCGGGGAGCUUCUACUCGGGAAACCAAAGCUUUUGGGUUCCGGGGGAAGUAUGGUUGCAAAGCUGAAACUUAAAGGAAUUGACGGAAGGGCACCACCAGGAGUGGAGCCUGCGGCUUAAUUUGACUCAACACGGGAAACCUCACCAGGCCAGGACAUUGGAAGGAUUGACAGAUUGAUAGCUCUUUCUUGAUUCAG
rnacentral:rRNA from 1 species